rnacentral:lncRNA from 1 species
GACGAAAGAAGGAUGGGCUGAAGAAGGGAUGGUGGUGGAAGCCGGUGGGAACUAGGGGAAGAUAGGUGAAGAAAGCGGAUGGGAUAGGGCCCUAGGGAAAACGUGAAAGCCAGAGGGUUAACCUCUGAAAGGCAGUAGUGGGUGGGGGUGGGGAGAAGAGGGCGUACUUAGCGCAUGCGCCAGAAGUACACUGCGGCGAUCCAGGAGAGGCAGUUCUUAACUGGCAUCAGCGCUGCGGCUGGAGGCGCGGCUGGUUCUCUGCCCGCUGUCCAGUUCCACCUUGGCUUGUGCAACCACCCUGGAUCUGCGAACUCUGUGCAGCUGCUCUGUCCACCAUAUCUUGCGGCGGCGAGCGCUAAGAAUUCAUGCUACGACACUCGAUUCAGCCAGGAGGUGACACCAAAUGUGAUCAGAAGCCAUGCCCAUGGUGAAGAGAUAUACUGAACCCGGCCUGGCCCAGUGAGGUUACUAGAGAAUUGGGAAAGGCUUAAAUAAGUAUCCUGCACAUGGUUAUCAAAUCAUUGUAAAGUCUUGGUAAGUGGUUAGCGGCUUUAGUAGGCUAGCCCAGUUACUGGGAAGGGACAGGGAAGGUAGUCUUAAUAGAUAUUAGGCAAUUACUUGGUAUUUUCCCCAUCAUGGUAUGAAUAAAAAGCAUCUUAAAAUAUUCGGACUACACAGAAAGCAGUGAGCCUAACCUUUCAUUUUUUAAGUUUCUUUUUUAAAUUUUUUUGAGAGAGAACAUGAGCAUGAGUUGGAGAGGGGCAGAGAGAGAGGGAGAGAGAAUCCCAAGCAAGCUCAAAGUCCAGUGUGGGGCUCGAACUCACGAACCCUGAGAUCAUGACCUGAACCAAAAUCAAGAGAUGCUUAACUGACUGAGCCACCCAGGUGCCCCCAACCUUUCAUUUUUUCAUCCUCUCAUUUUGUAUAUCUUGCCCAAGAUUAUAGCUAGUUAGUGUAGGAAAUGGAUUUGAAUUUAAGCCAGUACUGUGUCUUUUUACCCAGUGCUUCCUCUAGGUUCCAUCUAAGUGUAAGGAGGCCAUAUGAGAGAGAAAUGUCUUUAUUUCACACUGAAAUUUUUUCUUAAGUUUAUUUAUUUAUUUUGAGAGAGACAGAGACAUUGCAAGUCGGGGAGAGGCAGAAAGAGGGGGAGAGAGAGGAUCCCAAGCAGCCUGUAUUCUGCCAGCACAGAGCCCGACGCAGAGCUCAAACUCACAAAACUGUAGGAUCGUGACCUGAGCCAAAAUCAAGAGCCGGACAUUUAACCGACUGAGCUACCUUGGGUGCCCCUCACAUUGAAAGAUUUUUAUAAUAGCCUCUGAUAUUGUUCUUUCCCAAUGAAGGAAAUUUUCAUGGUGUAAAUUUUUUUUAUGCAGAAAAUCAUCUGGAAUGCUUGUUAAAAAUGCAGAUUUCUGGGCAGCCAGAAACCUUGCACUAGUCAAGAGCAACACUAAGACCCACCUGUCAUUUAUAUUGAGGCUUCCUGCCCGGUGGGUUCAUCAGCAAGCCAGAAUGAAUCACCAUUGCUGUGUGUGGAUCCUUGUGAGGCAGCUGGGAAGUCUUGGUAAGCUGCCAGUGGUUUGGGUGGGGUUCCCCCAUUGGUAGUAGAGAAGAGACGGUUGUGAUGGACACUUCCCCCGCUUCCUUAAACAGACAGUUACUAAGUGCUUACUAGUUGCCAGAGACUAUUCUAGAUAUUAACAAAGUUCAGCCAUCUUGGAACUUUCAUUCUUAUGAGAGUAGACAGAGGAACAAAGAACCAGGGAAAGCAUAAAGUAUCAUACAUGUUACAUCAGAAGUUUUCCAUUAUGGUAUGAAAAUUGUGUUAAAAAUGGGUGGGUUAGGCUAAGCAACACCUUGUGUAUUUUCCCCACUUCCCAUUCUUCCUUUUAAUACCUGCCCCUGUCUUUCAGUGCAGUGGAGGCUGACCAAGCUGAGUAUGAGAGGGUUAUAGGUGAUGAAAGCAAUCUUUUUCCUUUUUGUUACCCUCACUAGGCUAAAUUGUGAAGGAUGUCUUUUGAAAAGUGUUCUAGAGAGUCUACUGGUUUUCCCACAUGAGUGAACGUGUAGCAGAAGAGAGGAUCCUCUCAGUGAUUAAGGUAAAUAGGGGAGGAAAGGAUGACUUUGCCCUAACUCCUAUCAGGGAGGCUCUUAGAAAUGUCAUUUCUGGGUGUCAAUACUUUUACUUUCUUUUUAAAUUUUGUUUGUUUGUUUGUUUAUAUUCAAGUUAAUUAACAUACAGGGUAAUUACGAUUUCAGGAGUAGAACCCAGUGAUUCAUCUCUUGCAUAUGACACCCAAUGCUCAUCCCGAAAAAUGCCCUUCUUAAUGUCCAUCACCCAUGUAUAGCCCACACCCCCCCCAACCACAUCAAGCCUCAGUUUGUUCUCUGUAUUUAAGAGUCUCUUAUGGUUUGUCUCCCUCUCUGUUUUUAUCUUAUUUUUCCUUCUCUUCCCCUAUGUUCAUCUGUUCAGUUUCUGAAAUUCCACAUAUGAGUAAAAUUAUAUGAUAUGUCAUUCUCUGACUUGUCUUGCUUAGCAUAAUACCCUCCACUUCUAUCCAUGUUUUUGCAAAUGGCAAGAUUUCAUUCUUUUUCAUCGCCGAGUGGUAUUCCAUUUUACAUAUGUAUAUAUAUAUGGUAUAUAUAUAUAUAUCACAUGACUUUAAAGCCUGUAGUUUAUUCUGUAAUACAUUUUUCUUGAAACAAUUGGGGUAAAUUAUCUUGUUUACCCAGUCUGUAAUCACCCCUGCAGAGGAUCAGAACUAAAAUGGUUGCCAAGUAAACUAGGCAACAUAAGCUACAGUCACAAAUAAAGGCAGGACACUAAUUAUACUCCUCUUAAGGGGAGAGUGUCUUUUUAACCAGACUUGUUGAGAGUUUUUAUCAGACAGUGGAGCUACAUCUUGUCGAAAGUCAGCUCAUAGCAGAGGCUCCAUAUUUCAGCGGUAGCCAAGUUAGUAAUUUCAGAGAUAGCAGUGUCUUCUGGAUUGCACUUAAACCAAUUGGACUAGUGUUCAUUUUGGACUCCUAAGGGAUCAGCCCCCUGAUGGGAUCCAGGGAGCAUUUAAAUGGUCCAUAGUUAAGAGAAGAGAGGCACAAAAUCAGGUUCUUUGCUGACACUGGUCUAGUCUGGGGCCAAUAAAGCCCCUGUGUUUUGGACACCACUUUGAGUCUGAUACACCACUGAAAAGUGCUCUUCUGGCACCACCCUUGAACUCAUUACCUCAGAUGUCUGGAUCAGUGGGUCCAAAUCUUGGUAGACCACUUUCACUCACUUUGUCUGAACCUAAGAAUCUGCAAUCAUGGCACGGACAAGCCAACCCACAUGGAAUACCUACAACGCAGAAAGACUUUUGCCCUCAGUGGAGCACAGGCACCAGGUCCUCUCCUUUCAUUCAUUUUCCUCCUCCUUCCUAACACAGAGCUAGACACCCAGUAAAUAACCCCUUCACACGUGCAGCACAGCAGUUAACAAAGGCUUCAGUAAGAAAGUGCCUUUGUCAGAGUUGGCCUGCUGACCCCAGUGUUGGAGGAGAUUAUUGACACGACGUGACCACUGGUUGACCCUUGAGCUUGACCCAGGCAAAUGGAGGUUCCUCACUCUUUCCCUGUCCUUGGAGUGUACAGUUUCUGCACUAGGAACUGUUUCAAGGAUGGAGCCUUGAAAAGGUAAGGUGUGGUAUAGACCGUCUGGAUGGCACAUGUGACUGAACCACGUUAAGGCCUCUAUACCUACAAACCUUUAAGACUCUGGCAGAGGGGUACAGACAUCUGCUAGUCUCUGGCUGCCCGAGACAAGCCUCAUAAGUUCCCUUGCUUAUUAAAACCACUGCCUACCAAUCUGGAGUGGUCUACCUCUUUCAGCAGUUUCCUUUGCCCCAUGCGUAUAUGGACCAGCUGGGAACCAACACUCAGACACUAGGGGAGGUCAGGUCUUUCUGCUGCAUCACUGGUAGGAGGGGCUGAGAACGGGCAGGAGUGACUGCCAUACAGCAGACUCAGGCUGCAGGCCAGCCUGGUGGGACCAGCUGGCCUAGGAGAGCCAGUCACACGGCUUGACCUGUGGCUGCCACCAUGAUCAGGGCCAUCCUGAGAGGUAGCUUUUGCCCUCAUGGACAGGGAAAGACCAGAAGGUCACAACCCAUCUCAUCAGAGAAAAGGGAGGCAGGGAAUGAAAACACAACACUGCUGGUAAGCAGAUCUCUGCCACAAACCUUGGCAGAGCACACACCUUUCUGAAGAGCCUGAGCCUGUACAAGCCAAGACAUAAACAAGUACAGAAUGUCCCCUUCAUCAUUUCACCUAUAGGUGGGGUAGGUAGUCUAAGGAGUUCACACAGGGAUCAGGGCAAAAAGUUGAUGGGGGAGGGGCGGUAAAUAAGGUUCCAGAAGGGUAAAAUAGGACUAGAAGAAUUCACCGUGACUGGUCAGUUCUCUGUCACCUUAUACCAUGAUCACAAUUCAAAUUUAAUCACUCAUUUUAUUUAUU